GGAAAUGAAGCCAAAGUGUGGCAAUGCGUGCACAACGGGUGGUUCUCCCAUAACUGUGGACACCACGAGGAUGCCAGUGUUAUCUGCUCAGGUAUUGGUGGCAAACCAAAUGCAGAACCAACAGACUCCACUGGCGACAACCCCCCUACAGAUGAAAAUUUCCACUGUGGCGGUUUGCUUGCAAAUAAUUCAGGCUCCUUCUCCAGUCCUUGGUAUCCUAAAAAUUACCCCACAAAUGUGGUAUGUGCUUGGGACAUACAAGUGGAUAUCGGGGCUCAUGUGAAACUCACAUUUGAAGUGGUAAAAAUGGAAAAUUUCUAUGGCUGUCCAUACGACUUCAUUGAAAUCUUUGAUGGCCCACAAAGCGAAUCUUUUUUGCUAGGGAGAUUCUGUUCCAGGAAGAUCCCGAUAUUUACCUCCUCCUACAACCGCAUGUCGGUGGUGUUCCACAGCGAUGCUAUCAUCACCAACAUUGGCUUCUAUGCAUCUUAUGAGUCUCUUGUGCAAGAUGAGAAUGAUACCGGUAGGUCCUGCAAUCAUGUUGUU
rnacentral:lncRNA from 1 species